AGAAAAUCUCUAUUGCUCCUAUCAGCGUGCCCUAUCUCCUAAUUGAUUGAUCGAUCUUGCUUCUCCCUUUGCGUAGAUCUUCAGUUAGCUUCCGUAGGUCUCUAUUGCUCCUGUCGGUGGGCCCUAAUCGAUCCAAGAAUGAUUCUGGGAUCUUGAACCAGUUAGCUGUCGUAGAUAUUACUCCCCAAAAUCCAAGCGUGUGUGCAUUUCGAAGACCCGAUUUUCCUAACUCCCGAUUGAUGAUCGGUUGUUCUGGGAAGUAAGCACACCAUGCUCACUGCUCUGUCAUGAUCGUCAAGAGGCCAAGCCCACCAAGUGAUCGAUCAUAUGUUGCAUCACCUAAACUAUUGCGUAGCUUAGUGUGUGUGAUUGUUUGUCAAAAGAGACAAGCUUUGUGCCCCAUUUAUCUAUAAUUAACUCCAUCUUUAUCUUUA